rnacentral:rRNA from 1 species
CCGAUUCCGGAGAGGGAGCCUGAGAAACGGCUACCACAUCCAAGGAAGGCAGCAGGCGCGCAAAUUACCACUCCCAGCUCGGGGAGGUAGUGACGAAAAAUAACGAUACGGAACUCUUACGAGGCUCCGUAAUCGGAAUGAGUACACUUUAAAUCCUUUAACGAGGGUCUAUUGGAGGGCAAGUCUGGUGCCAGCAGCCGCGGUAAUUCCAGCUCCAAUAGCGUAUAUUAAUUUUGUUGCGGUUAAAAAGCUCGUAGUUGGAUCUCGGUUUCGGGCGAGUGGUGUACCUUGCGGUAUUUACUGUUUGCCCGGACGAUUUUGUUGGUUCGUUUAUGGUUCUCUUAACCGAGUGCCAUAAGUGGCCAGCACGUUUACUUUGAAAAAAUUGGAGUGCUCAAAGCAGGCGCUACAGCCCGAACAUUAGUGCAUGGAAUAAUGGAAUAGGAUCUCGGUUCUAUUUCGUUGGCUUUCGGAGUCGAGGUAAUGAUUAAUAGGGACAGACGGGGGCAUUCGUACUGCGACGUUAGAGGUGAAAUUCUUGGAUCGUCGCAAGACGAACUACUGCGAAAGCAUUUGCCAAGAAUGUUUUCAUUAAUCAAGAACGAAAGUUAGAGGUUCGAAGGCGAUCAGAUACCGCCCUAGUUCUAACCAUAAACGAUGUCGACCGGCGAUCCGUUAUCGUUAACUGAAUGACUUAACGGGCAGCCUCCGGGAAACCAGAGUGUUUGGAUUCCGGGGGAAGUAUGGUUGCAAAGCUGAAACUUAAAGGAAUUGACGGAAGGGCACCACCAGGAGUGGAGCCUGCGGCUUAAUUUGACCCAACACGGGAAAUCUCACCAGGCCCGGACACCGGAAGGAUUGACAGAUUGAGAGCUCUUUCUUGAUUCGGUGGGUGGUGGUGCAUGGCCGUUCUUAGUUGGUGGAGCGAUUUGUCUGGUUAAUUCCGAUAACGAACGAGACUCUGGCCUACUAACUAGACGUUAGAUCCCUUUGUGGGUCUAUCGCAGCUUCUUAGAGGGACGGGCGGCGUUUAGCCGCACGAGAUUGAGCAAUAACAGGUCUGUGAUGCCCUUAGAUGUUCUGGGCUGCACGCGCGCUACACUGAAGGAAUCAGCGUGUGUUCCCUACCCGAAAGGGUUGGGAAACCCGUUGAACCUCCUUCGUGAUGGGGAUUGGGGAUUGCAAUUAUUCCCCAUGAACGAGGAAUUCCCAGUAGGCGCGAGUCAUAAGCUUGCGUCGAUUACGUCCCUGCCCUUUGUACACACCGCCCGUCGCUACUACCGAUCGAGUGAUUUAGUGAGGCCUUCGGACUGGUCUUCAGUAUGGCUUUCGGGUCGUGUUGGAGUACCGGAAAGAUGACCAAACUUGAUCACUUAGAGGAAGUAAAAGUCGUAACAAGGUU